rnacentral:rRNA from 1 species
GACAGAGGGUGCAAACGUUGUUCGGAAUUACUGGGCGUAAAGCGCGUGUAGGCUGUUUUGCAAGUCGGAUGUGAAAGCCCUGGGCUCAACCUAGGAAGUGCACUCGAAACUGCAGAACUGGAGUCCUGGAGAGGAAGGCGGAAUUCUCGGUGUAGAGGUGAAAUUCGUAGAUAUCGAGAGGAACACCGGUGGCGAAGGCGGCCUUCUGGACAGUGACUGACGCUGAGACGCGAAAGCGGUGGGGAGCAAACA